AUAAGCCCCUCUGUUAACUUUUGUUCAAGCCUGUCUAGAUCUUUUAUCAGUCUAGAAAGAUGUUGGAGAAAAGACAUCAUCCUCUUCUAUAAUCUCCAUCUGUAAUUGGACUAACAACUGGACCAGUGAAUGCAGGCAACUUACUCUCCAUUCGACCUUGCAGGUCACACCAUGGUCUCAAGAGGGAAAAUGAGUGCUCUAUGGAUUGAACAGAAAAGAUUAAUCAAAACUCCAACCAUCUGUAUGAGGGUCUGGAUGGAUAAAGGAUGCCCACUGGAGCUGGAAAUGAUGGAUCAGGUGGAUCCACACUUGAACCAUCUGUAUGAUGAUCUGCACCCACUGGAUCUGUAAAUGGUGGUGCAGGUUUCUGAAUUGAUGUCAGAUGCAAAGCAGAAGCUUAUUUUCUGCCAGUUUGGCUUCAUUGUGGAAAAAUGCUUGAAACUAAAAUGCAGAAUUCUGGCCUGGUGUUUGGUCCCCCUUUCUCUGGCUUGUGUCUCCAUCAUCAUUACACUCUUGUCAGUGUAAUAGUAUCGUCGUCUGCGUACCAGGACUUUGUUACUCAGCUGUCCCUUCUCCUUCAAGCUACAUUUUUGUCAAGCUGCAACAAGUUGGAAUACAUAAUUAUUAACGUUUAAUGAUUUUGAUGUAUGAAAUAUGUAACAAAAGCAAAAAAUGUAUAGACAUUCUAUUAAGAAAUUACCUUUUUGUUGUUUGUUUACUGACCUUUCAACCAUAUUGCAUUUAUAAUUGAUCAUCAUACCUUUGGUCUACUGUUAACAGGCUACUGUAGAAAACAAAGUCAAACAAAAAAGAGAGAAAAAAUUAUAAAUGCUGAAUGUGUCUCAUCUUAAAUACAUUGUUGUUGUUUUUGUUUCAUUGAAUUUGCAUGUUUUGAUGAUUUAAGGAAAAUUUACGUAGCAUAUAUAUUGAUGUUUUAAAUCAGAGUUUGUUAAUGACACUUAAUCAUUAACAAACAUUUAAAAAGCUUUAUUACAAUACUAAUUGAUAAUAUUAAUGUAAUAAUAUUGUUUUGUAACACCCUAAAUCACUGAGCGCACAAACGCUACCCCUGUUACAAGCAUGAGUGGUUGACUUCAUGCAGACAUGCGCAGACAUUGAAGUACCGCGAGAGUGAUUCAAAAGCCCACGAAACAGUGUAAUCACGCGGUACUGUGAUGUCAUACUGGUUAACGCUAAGCCACGUGAAGCCGGACACAAGGGCUACACUAAUCUUUGGGCUGGAGUAGCCUGUGGUUUUUAAGGCUUCGUGUCUCAUCGCGUUAAACGAUCGCAGAACGAUUUAUUUCUCUUUUUCACCUCGAUCUUUGGCCUCGUGUGAUUUACCAAAACCAACAUGUGAAGUUACAACGCUGACGAAGGAGUUUCAUCAGUAGAGUGUGUCCUGGUAAACGUGUGCUCGGAAACAUGCAGAUUACAGUAUUUACAGAGCCGACCUUGAGUCACCCACUGAUGGA